GCCCAUCUGCACCCAGGCGCUCACUGAAACAGUGUGUUGCUCCACACCGCCUUGUUUUGCUUGUUGGCGCGCUCUCAGGGUUCCGACCAAUCCAAGAGCCUUGCAGAAAGCAUUAACGUGCUUUUCUCUUUGGCAGAGUUUUUCUUUGCUCUGAUCUUGGAGACAUCCCUCUGCCUAGUGGAAACAUAAGGAAUACAGAAAGAAUGCAAGGAGAUAGACCAACGUGAGAUUCUCCUUCAUGCACUCAAGAGAAAGAUGUUGCAGGAAGAGCUAGUCUUUCAGGCUGGGCUGGUGACCUGAGAAAGAAUGUCCAGCUUUUCUUCUCCACUUGGCAUAUCAAGAGCCAGGCGUGGAAGACUAAAACAGGAAAUGUUUAUAAAAACUGUUCAGCGGUUCGCCAACAAGAAGUGGUAAAGUAGCAAAAAUGGGGAUGGAGAUGCCAGGAGGAAAGAUGCCAGGGGUAAAGUGGGAAAAUGGGAACCUGAAGCCAGGAGGUCAAGCCAAGCCAACAGGUGUUCUGUUUUUCAGUGAGGAGGUGGGGCACAGGAUGGAUGGAAACUUUCCACAGUCACAGAACUAAUAAGUGGUGCUGAGGACUCAAACCCGGGGAAGCCCACUCUAGAACCCAUGCUGGUCAUCCAUAUCCCCAAGGCCCUGGUCAGAACACAGCUAAGCAGAUGGCUUGGGUCAUCAGGACGUCCAUUACAUCCAAAGGAAGACAGCCUGUGACGUUUCAAAAGCAAAAGUCCCCUACCAGCCAGUGAAGCUACCUGAUUUCUCAGUAUCUUACGCCCAGUGACACGAUCUACCC
rnacentral:lncRNA from 10 species